rnacentral:rRNA from 1 species
AGUGAACGCUGGCGGUAGGCCUAACACAUGCAAGUCGAACGGCAGCACAGUAAGAGCUUGCUCUUACGGGUGGCGAGUGGCGGACGGGUGAGGAAUACAUCGGAAUCUACUUUUUCGUGGGGGAUAACGUAGGGAAACUUACGCUAAUACCGCAUACGACCUACGGGUGAAAGCAGGGGAUCUUCGGACCUUGCGCGAUUGAAUGAGCCGAUGUCGGAUUAGCUAGUUGGCGGGGUAAAGGCCCACCAAGGCGACGAUCCGUAGCUGGUCUGAGAGGAUGAGCAGCCACACUGGAACUGAGACACGGACCAGACUCCUACGGGAGGCAGCAGUGGGGAAUAUUGGACAAUGGGCGCAAGCCUGAUCCAGCCAUACCGCGUGGGUGAAGAAGGCCUUCGGGUUGUAAAGCCCUUUUGUUGGGAAAGAAAAGCAGCAGGUUAAUACCCCGCUGUUCUGACGGUACCCAAAGAAUAAGCACCGGCUAACUUCGUG